CAGAUUAUAAAAUUAGUGUAUCUACAAAUCAGAUACAUCUCAGAUGUCACUGAAUGAUUUAAAAUAUUGAUAUAUUUCUGUCAUUAUAAUGCUGAAAUAAUAUACAUGUAUAUGUUAGCCACAUUAUAAGGUUCACAACUCAAGAACUAUGUUUUUAUUAGUUAUAACCAUGAAGGUUAAAAAUGUUUUCAAAAGUGAUGCUGCAAUAAAUAAGAUUACAUGAUACCUUAAUUAUGUUUAUGACGUUACAAUCGCAUUGCCAUUUAUUGUAUAAAGCAUUUCACAAUCAAUUUCAAUCUCUAGGUAGCUUAAACUCCUGUUGAAACAUUUUUUUUCUAGCUAGCUUAUUUGAAUGUAGUACAUGUAUCAAUUUUGGAAAUUUACUCCAAAGUAAUUUAAUAAAUAACUUUUAUGUUUUUAAGGUUUCUUAGAUAUUUUUCAAAUGAAAAAAAUAAAAACAACACUUAAUAUUUUUGUUGACUGUACUUGUCAUGUUUAGUAGACUACAGAAUAAAAUACUGUAAAUUGGUUGUGUUCAUGAUCUUAUGUUAUUGUUAAACACUAAAUGCUCAUGUUUGCUUGAAUCACUAUAUUAUAAACUAAACUAGGUGCUCCGCAGGGCGCAGCUUUAUACGACCCCAGUGGUUGAACCCUGAAUAGUUGGGGCAAAUUUGGUCACAAUAUUCAAGCUUGAUUCUGUCUGAAUUUGGAUUGUGAUCAAAUUUUUGACAUAAUAUAGGUUUUUGUCACAAAAUUAAUGUGGUCAAAGAUCUAACAAAUCCAUUGCACAAUACUGUGCAAUUGAAGAUUUCUUCUUGAAACUUCUUUGAAAAAAAAGGAAGCCCUAUAAAAAAUGGUUAACAAAAAAUCCCCCCAACUUUUUGAACCCCCCUUGGAGCAAUAACCCUUAAACUCAAUCCCAUGCUUUCCAUUGCAGUAUUGAACCUUGUAGUACAAUUUCAGAGAGAUCCAUACCCUUAAACACAAGUUAUUGUCAUGAUUGUUUGGAAACUAGAAUCAUGCUUCUUUUUGGCCCUUUUUUGCCCCCUAAUUCCUACACAUUUUGGGCAAUAAACCCAAAACUUAAUCCCAGCCUCCCCUUUGUUAUAUGGUACAUUGUGGUGCAAUUUCAGAGAGAUCCAUACAAUUACACAUAAGUUAUUGUCUUGAAACUAGAAAAAAGCUUGUUUUUACCCCUUUUUUGCCCUUAAUUCCUAAACUUUGGCUCCAUAACCCCUAAAAUGAAUCCAAACCUUCUACUUGUGGUUUUAAACAUUGCGGUAUGAUUUUAGAGCAAUUGAAAUACUUCUACACAAGUUAUUAUCCUGAAACUAGAAAAAUGCUUGUUUUGGGCCCCUAAUUCCUAAUCAGUUGGGACCAUCAUCCCCAAAAUCAAUCCCAACCUUCCUUUUGAGGUAUUGAACUUUCUGAAAAAAAUUUCAUGAAGAUCUAUUCACUUAAACUAAAGUUAUUAUCCGGAAACCAAUGUGUCUUUGGACGACGACGACACAGACGACGACAUCAUACCAAUAUACUAUCCCAAAAUAUUUUUGGGGUCGUAUAAAAAUGAGUCCAUAAAAUCAGCUUGGAGAACGGACCUCAUUUCAUAAUACUUUAGGAGAAAACAUGUUUGUAGGUUAUAAACAAUUCAGUAUAGCUCACGAAAUUUUGUUUUUUU
rnacentral:lncRNA from 1 species